GACGAACGCUGGCGGCGUGCCUAAUACAUGCAAGUAGGACGCAGUUGCGAACGGGUGAGUAACGCGUAGGUAACUGCCUCUUUGAGGGGGGUAACUCAUGGAAACGAUAGCUAAUACCGCAUACUAGUAGAUGGACCUGCGUUGUAUUGGCUAGUAGGUAGGGUAAUGGCCUACCUAGGCAACGAUACAUAGCCGGCCUGGGAGGGGGGACGGCCAAAAUGGGACUGAGAAACGGCCCAGACUCCUACGGGAAGGAGCAGUAGGGAAUCUUCGGCAAAGGGGGGAACCUUUAACGAGCAAAGCCGGGGGAGUGAAGAAGGUUUUCGGAUCGUAAAGCUCUGUUGUUAAGGGAGCGGUACUUAACCAGAAAGGGACGGCUAACUACGUGCCAGCAGCCGCGGUAAUAC
rnacentral:rRNA from 1 species